rnacentral:rRNA from 1 species
CCUACGGGAGGCAGCAGUGAGGAAUAUUGGUCAAUGGACGAGAGUCUGAACCAGCCAAGUAGCGUGAAGGAUGACUGCCCUAUGGGUUGUAAACUUCUUUUAUAUGGGAAUAAAACGUUCCACGUGUGGGAUUUUGUAUGUACCAUAUGAAUAAGGAUCGGCUAACUCCGUGCCAGCAGCCGCGGUAAUACGGAGGAUCCGAGCGUUAUCCGGAUUUAUUGGGGUUAAAGGGAGCGUAGGUGGAUUGUUAAGUCAGUUGUGAAAGUUUGCGGCUUAACCGUAAAAUUGCAGUUGAAACUGGCAGUCUUGAGUACAGUAGAGGUGGGCGGAAUUCGUGGUGUAGCGGUGAAAUGCUUAGAUAUCACGAAGAACUCCGAUUGCGAAGGCAGUUCACUGGACUGCAACUGACACUGAGGCUCGAAAGUGUGGGUAUCAAACAGGAUUAGAUACCCCAGUAGUC